GCAUGGCAUCUUUAUUUUUUGAUUUUCUCUCACUCUUCUUUCUUCUUCUUCUUUAUCUCAGCACCCGUGCCCCUCAUUUUUCGUCUUCUCCUUCAACUCCUUCUUCCCUCUUCAAGAUUCAAACCCGUGGGUACUAUGCAUCAGUACAUAAGUCAUAUUUCGAAAGCUCGGAUCAGAAAACUUCCUUGAUGAAAGUUGUUCAUCUGCUCGAGUACUACAGCUUGUAAAAUUUGUAGGCUUUUUUGAAUUUUUAUGAUACCUCAAAGUGGGUCUGCAACUUCUGCAUUCAUCCAUGGCUGGCUUGAUUGAGAGGUUCCAAAGCAUGAGGAAUGCCAUCUUCUUACUGAUUUG